CCUUUGAUGAGUCUUUUGCUUGUGAAGCAGAGGAUGUGCCCAUACUUUCAACUAGUGUUGCCUAUGGUGUUUACAUGGCAGUUUCUAGCAACCUAAGGUAUCAAGUACUUGCAGGAAUUAUUGAACAGCGGAUUCUAGAGCCAUUGUUACACCAACAUAAACUUAUACUCAGUGCAAUAUGUUUUGCUGUUCGAACCGGCAACACGUUUUUGGGAUCACUGAUGUGGGUGGAUUAUGCACGGUGGGUUGGAAUCCAAAAGAUAAGGGAGUAGAACAUGGAGGAGAACACUUGCUUGGUUACACUGUUCCCUGUCAAUUUUUUCUUCUUUUCUUUCAAGAGGAUCACAGAGUACACAAGGAUGGAUGAAUGGUGCUGUUGGUUUUAUUUGUCAUAUGUUGAUUAUGUAUAGUUAAACCCAUGACUAAAAAAAUUCAUGACUACGGAGCUUAUUGAGACCAAUAAAUUUUGUGAAUUCCAAAUCAUUAUUCAUUUCUCAA